GGUGCCUUCCGAGUUCCCUGGAACGGGACGCCAUAGAGGGUGAGAGCCCCGUACGGUCGCGCGCUAAGCCUCUGUGAAACUCCUUCGACGAGUCGAGUAGUUUGGGAAUGCUGCUCUAAAUGGGAGGUGUACGUCUUCUAAAGCUAAAUACCGGCCAGAGACCGAUAGCGCACAAGUAGAGUGAUCGAAAGAUGAAAAGCACUUUGAAAAGAGGGUUAAACAGUACGUGAAAUUGUUGAAAGGGAAGCGGUUACGACCAGACUUGGGCCCGGCUAAUCAUCCAGCGUUCUCGCUGGUGCACUUGGCCGGCCCAGGCCAGCAUCAGUUUGCCCCGGGGGAUAAAGGCUUCGGGAAUGUGGCUCCCUAGGGAGUGUUAUAGCCCGUUGCGUAAUACCCUGUGGCGGACUGAGGUACGCGCUCCGCAAGGAUGCUGGCGUAAUGGUCGUCACCGACCCGUCUUGAAACACGGACCAAGGAGUCGUCUUCGUAUGCGAGUGUUCGGGUGUCAAACCCCUGCGCGUAAUGAAAGUGAACGUAGGUGAGAGCUUCGGCGCAUCACCGACCGAUCCUGAUGUUCUCGGAUGGAUUUGAGUAAGAGCAUACGGGGCCGGACCCGAAAGAAGGUGAACUAUGCCUGUAUAGGGUGAAGCC
rnacentral:rRNA from 1 species